rnacentral:rRNA from 1 species
ACUCCUACGGGAGGCAGCAGUGGGGAAUAUUGCACAAUGGGCGCAAGCCUGAUGCAGCCAUGCCGCGUGUGUGAAGAAGGCCUUCGGGUUGUAAAGCACUUUCAGCAGUGAGGAAGGCGGAGUCGUUAAUAGCGGCCUCGUUUGACGUUAGCUGCAGAAGAAGCACCGGCUAACUCCGUGCCAGCAGCCGCGGUAAUACGGAGGGUGCGAGCGUUAAUCGGAAUUACUGGGCGUAAAGCGCAUGCAGGUGGUUUGUUAAGUCAGAUGUGAAAGCCCGGGGCUCAACCUCGGAAUAGCAUUUGAAACUGGCAGACUAGAGUACUGUAGAGGGGGUAGAAUUUCAGGUGUAGCGGUGAAAUGCGUAGAGAUCUGAAGGAAUACCGGUGGCGAAGGCGGCCCCUGGACAGAUACUGACACUCAGAUGCGAAAGCGUGGGAGCAAACGAGGAUUAGAUACCCCGUGGUAGCGACUGA